GCUCGUCUGGAACAGUGGAGAGACGAGAAGAGGCGUUGGAACAUACGUUUGUGAUCAUCGGGUUACAAUAACGCUGAUGGAGCUUGUUCAUUUUAACCGUUUGGCUUCAACACAAAGAAAAAUGUUCUUUUUUUACGUUAUUUAUUAACAUUUGAUUUCAUCACAAACAAUAACUCCUCUUCAUUUAUGGAGUGGAACUUAGCUCUUUUAAUACAUUAAUUUAUUUAUAUAAUGAUGAACAAAAAAAUUUAUUUUAAAAUAGUUUUGACAGCUUAGAUUAAACAGCUGGUGAUAAAGUUUGUAACAGCUGGUUUUUAUCUUCUCCAGUAAAACCGGUCGGACAUCCAAACUGGGAGUGAAACCACUGAUAUGGAGCGAUGUAGACGCGCUGGCAGUUUUCCCAGAGCCAAAAACAGACCAGACAGGUCCACAUUCUUCACUCCCAACAUUAUUUCCAUGACGACAGCCAGAUCUUCCUCCCGGAUUUCUCCUCUCUCGUUCUCAUACAUCUACGUGUUAAAAUGCUGUUUCAGCAUCAGUCAGCCUCCAUCACACCAGAGUCACUGGUCAAGUUCUCACCUCAAAGGCCAGUUUAAGAGUCUCAAAGGAUUUAGGAGGCCGGAGUACCGUAGACAGAGCGACGAUGUAAUGUCUGAUGUCCAUCUGUCCAUCUUCACUCUACAUACAGUAUUAUACCAGUGAGCAAACAGGUAAGGAAGCUCUCUGACCUCAUCAGGAAAUGUUAUUUGCUUAUAAAUAAUCAUUAAUAUGUCAUCUAAAAUCUAGAUGUGUAUUUUAGCUUUCUAAACAUUUCGAUGCAGGGGUUUCCCAUCUAACAAGGUUUAAAACAUGUAUUUAUGAUGCUGAACUCUAUAGAGGGUGGAAGCAGCUUCACCCUGUUUGGUUCUGACCCGGGGUUCUGCCAGCUGACCGCUUCCUAAGGAUCUCAGAGCCCUGCUGGGCGUAUACACAGGAACGAGAUCUAGUGUGUAUUUUGGCCCCAUGCCACUGAGUGAUUUAUAAACUAGUAGUAGCACUUUGAAAUCAAUUCAGUAGAUUACUGGUAACCAGUGUAGAGACUUAACAGGAGUGAACGGUUAUCUUGGUUCUUGUUGAGACUCUAGCAGCAGCAUUCUGAAUAAGCUGUCGUUCAAAACUUGUUCUGAAAACAGUUCUCAUGAUCACUUGAUUUUCUUGUUUCUUUAUUAGUGUCUGCAGUCUGUCAGAACUCCAUCUGAAUUUUAAGCGCAGCCCGACUACAAGCACGCUUUACCUCACCUACAUUCAUCAACCAUCAUGAUGAUCGGUGUUGUACGCGGUCAAUCAUUCAGCUGCAGCAGUCCAUUUAGACGUUUAACUGAAAACUUCUUUGCAAUAUCAGACCUCUGUCUGUACUUGUUUAAAAAAUGCAACGUAAUUCAAUUAAACAUCCUCUUUUAAGAUCAGAAACUAAUCAAUUCAAAUUUUUUUCCUAAAGUUCAAGUACAGAAUCUUUAACUCAAAGUAUGGGCUUGGGCACGUUAAACACAGGUCUUAAGACUAUGGUGGGCACUUAAUGCACUGUAAUUUUUUAUCGUGCGAUUGUAAUUUUUCCUCAUGUAUUCCCUCAUUCAUCUACAAAGGAGCGCCGUCAUGGCUGCUCCCAUGGUCUGCCUGUAUCUGUCCUGUCUAUAUGUGUGUGUGUAACCUUGGUCAGGUUGUACUAUGGAGUCAAGUUCCUAUGCUCUGAUCUGAUCUGAGCUCUGGCAAUAAAAUUCAUUCUGAUUC